UGGGGAAUAUUGGACAAUGGGCGCAAGCCUGAUCCAGCAACGCCGCGUGGAGGACGAAGGUCUUCGGAUCGUAAACUCCUGCCAGGUGGGGCGAAGGCUGCGGGAUGAAUAAUCCUGUAGCUUGACGGUACCACCAGAGGAAGCGCCGGCUAACUACGUGCCAGCAGCCGCGGUAAUACGUAGGGCGCAAGCGUUGUCCGGAAUUAUUGGGCGUAAAGAGCUCGUAGGCGGUCUGUUACGUCGGAAGUGAAAACCCGAGGCUUAACCCCGGGCUUGCUUUCGAUACGGGUAGACUAGAGUGUGGUAGGGGAGACUGGAAUUCCUGGUGUAGCGGUGAAAUGCGCAGAUAUCAGGAGGAACACCGGUGGCGAAGGCGGGUCUCUGGGCCACUACUGACGCUGAGGAGCGAAAGCGUGGGGAGCGAA
rnacentral:rRNA from 1 species